GCAUAACGUAGUCAAAGUGUAUAACCCGUAAAUUCUCUAGUUGAAGCUCUUCUGGACCGUUAGAAUCGGAAAAGGAUCAUAAAUUGUAUUACAAACAAAAAUAUUCUCUAAAAUGAAGAACGGAAUCAUCAUAAUACUUUUCUGUUUAAUUGUGAUUGCAAUGGAGUUUCCCAUGACCAUGGGGUCGGUAUUGCGUGAGCUAAUAAAGCUGCCCAUAAAAUUACUCACAUACAAAAACAUAACUAACGUCUGAUAAUACCGAGAAAUCUCUUUAGAAUGGUUGCUUCUACAUUGGACAAUUAUUUGCGAAUAUUAGUAAAGUUUAUCAAGAGAUAAAGUUAUUUCUAAAGUCUGAUCUGGUUGCAUCAAUAUACAUUUGCAAGUAUUAAAGCAAUGGAAUAUAAAAGUACGAUUUUUAAUUAUAACUAUAUUCGAUAGUAAUCUUUUAUUCUUAUAAUUAAAUGCUGUAUUUAAUUGUUAGUCUCUGUUUAAUCUCCGAAUCAACUGCAAAAUGAUAAAAUAAAACGCAUCAGUUUAACAUUGUAUUAAAUUGUAUUAAAUUUUACGUAAACUAUC